GACCCAGGUGGAUGCCAUAGGGAAAAAAUGGAGCGGGAUUUUUAUUCCACCACCUCAUUACCCACUAGGAAGAUCAUUUUGGGAACUACUAAGCUUCCUCUUCUACAGGCUAGACCGUGUCUGCCACUCUUCUACAGGAUUCUGUGGCCAGUUGGGGAUCUAGCCCUGUCAGUUGGUUUGUCCCCUGGAAGGACUCAGACAUCACCUGAACCUUCAUUCCAACUUUCCUCGAUCUCUCUGUUUUACCUGUCCACGCCACUGGUUACUCCUGGAAGGCAUCUCUGAUUCUGACACUUGGCUACUCAACUCCUUACACAAGCCCUUGAUGCUCAGGGCCUCCAAGAAGCCAGACAUGCCUGUCUUCCUGUCUCACAUUGCUCCCCCACACAGCAAGAGCUUCAUGCAAUGACUGAAGAGCAUGUGCACCUUCUCCAAGGAAGACAUGGCAUGCCUCUAGGCCGUAACCCAUGCUGCUCUCGCUGCCUAGGAUGCUUGUCCUUGUGUCUGUUGAGUGAUUGCUAUCUAUGCAGCCGAAUCAUGAGAGGAGGGCAAAGGAGACUUGGUAUAUGGCCAGCACAUCUUGCCACAAACAUGGUUCUCAUCCAAGCUGGCAAUCAGACCCCAGAGCCUCAGGGGUGGGCACCAGGCCACCAUGAGGAGGCGAAGUGGCCAGGCAGGACUCACAGCACUGUUUCCCAAGCUGCCAGAAUUCUGGAAUGUGUGGUCCCGUCCUGUCUCGUCUGUGGUUAGGGAAAUAUUCAGCUGAAAAUAAGCACUCCUCAUUCCUAAUGAGGAAUGACAUCAGGGACCCUCUGACCCGCACAAAAGAAACCCAAGCAUCAGCCUGGUCGCAUCUACCUCCAGAGGUCCACCUGCACCAUGCUGUGUGACACCUCAUUAACCUCUCUGCCAAUUUGCUUCCACUUAGGAGAGAGUGGCUCCUGCCGGCUCAGACACACAGAUCCCAUGGGGACCCAGCCCAGGGUGCUCUGCCCUGCCUCAUCUCACUGUCUGCCCUUUGAGCACACCUCCUGUGGCUGGCUGUUCUUCCUAUGUACUGGUCUAUAGCUCUGAUCUCGCCUGGCUAGAACUGAAUCCUCUAAGCAAGUCCAGCUGCCACUGUCCCCAGGUUCUGUGCCUUCCCCAUCCCUCCCAGAGAGAGCCCUGCAGAGGCCUGGGGGCCAGCUGUGGGCGGGCUCCCUGCCACGGUCCUCUAGUGAGGGUGUCCACUGUUGUCACCCAUCCCCCGAGGACAUUGGUAGUUUUCCUCUCUUGCUUGCUUUUGGGGAUGGCACUAAGUAGCUGACAGGGCAGGUUUACACCUGGGAAGGGACUAGAGCAAGGACUCAAUAGAUGGCCAGGGUCAGGAGCCAUCCAAGGGUCACAUUAGGGCUCGGUGCUUUGGUCUAUAAUGGGCAGGGCUCACCAGGGUUAAGGUUUGGGUUCAGUCAGGGACAAGGCUGAGGUCUGCAUACAAUCAGGAUCAGGGGUUAGUUUAUUAUAUGAGCCAGGAGCAGGGAUUAGUAUAUAUGCUUAGUGUUCAGACUCCAAGACCAGAGUCCAGUAUAAGUUUAUAGCCAGAACUAAUUUCAGCCUGUGAGCAUCAAUUCUUACCUGCUACCUAGUCUCCAUUCUGACUAGGAUCAGGGCUCAGCUAAGCACAAGGGUCAGGGCCGACCCUCCUACCAAAUCAGAAGUCUGUGAGAAGGGCUGAGUCCUAGGUCAAACUCAGCCUUAGGUUCUAACUAGGGGGAAACCUGAAGCCAGGGUUGGUCCACGCUUAUAACCCAGUAUAGCCCAGGCACGGGAGGGAUGAAGGCUCAAUGUGAAACAGGAUGGAGGCUCAACCCACAUUUGUUUACCAAUUCCUCUUAUGCACAUAACAGAGCAGACGGGGCUUCAGAAACACGUAACUCCUAAAAUGUGGGUACCUACUAUCAACUGACAUCUAUUUGUCACACCAGCUUUCUCUAGGGAGCCACCUCCGGGAAUCCAGGGCACUACCAGCCUCCUGCAGGGGAGACUCCUGGCUCCAGGGUGGUUAAGGAAGAAUCUGUGGGAAGAAGAGGAGGGAUGGGGUGCGUGCCCAGUCCCCUGCCCAGGCUCUGCAGCCCCCUUGGAGCGGGCGUGUUGACAGGAGACUUAAUGAGACCCAGAGGGAGGUGCUCUCUCAGGGCCACCUGGAAGCAAGCCCGGGUUGGGAAUUAAAUUAAAUGUUGGUGUAUGUCCCAACAAGCACAAAGGCGCGAGCCCGGGCCAGGGCCCAGUCACUGCGGGAGUUUGCCAUAAUUACAGGGCAAAAUAAGUUUCGGAACUUGCAUAACUCCACUAAGUGGGCCCUGAGGCUUAGGCCGAGUCACUCUCCUCCAGAAAACACUUGCUCCGCGAGGCUGCACCUGUGAGCCACCGUCAGUUCCUCAGGUGACAGGGUGGGAAUGGGUACAGAGCAGGACCUUGGCUCUUGUCCCUGUCUUGUAGAGGGGCCAAUAAGCAAAGGUCACUUGUGUAAGACAUGAUAAGCACCAGGCUCCAUGCUCUAGUCCUAUCUCCUGCUCUGGGAAGAGCAGCAGUACCUCCCCCCAUACUCCAGGGGAAGGGGACCCACACACCGGGCAGAGAAGUCUACAGAAGGAUGCUGGCUGGACAGGACACAGCAGGAGAAAAGGAGGGGUCCAAUGCUGAGUACUUACACAGGGCUGGGGAGCAUCUUCAAGAUCUUUCAGGUGGUAAACAGAGGCUCCGGGAACUGCAGUCGCCCGCCCAAAGCAACAGCCCAGAAGUGGCCCUAAGAUUAGACCCUAGGCUGCAUUCUGCUUCCUGCCUCUUAAAAACAAAACCAAAAACCUAUCACACUGAUGCUCUGCCUUUCUCAGAACAUUUGGCAAGACAACGAACAAGAUGCUAAUGGAUGCCAGAAGAAGGCAUUGGAUCCCCUGGAACUGGAGUUCCUGAUGGUUUGUGAGUCACUUGAUGUGGGUGCUGAGAACUGAACCCCAGUCUUCUGCAAAGGAACAAGCACUAUUGCUGAGCUACCUCUCCAGUGCCCCGAUUAAUAAACACAAUUGCUUCUUUCCCA